CUUGCCUAGUGGUGUGCCUUUGUGCAUUACAAAGUUCUGGGUUCAUCAGCAGUCAGAGUACAUUCCUGAUGUCGGUACAGCAUGUGCUCAAGAUAGGAGUUUGCCAUGUCAAAGUUUUGUGUGUGCCAUGAUCAGACAGAAUGAAUCCACCAUUCCCCAUUCUGCAGUGCGCUUCUGCCUGCUCCUCUGUCUGGCUGGAAUAGAUCUGUGCUGUUUGCUCAGCUGACACCAUGCUUCCUAAAAACAGUUCCUUCUAAUUUGAAACAGGCAAAGGAACAACGAUAAAAAACCAUUCCCUCCAACCCUAUCAUCAUCUUGGCUGUAAUUUGAUUCUACUUUUUGUUCUGAUUUUUGAAUUUUGUAGACUCACCCACAAUUCAUUGAAGACUGUGCUGUAUGAAAAUACAGGAAGAUUGGAGUGGGAGUACUGGAAGAUGAUGGAAGAGAACACUGCUGAAUGAAGGUGCUCAAAGUAAGUCAUGUCAAAGCUGAUGGAUUUCCUGUCAUGGUGUGCUAGAUAGCUGUCAUGGUUUGCUAAAUCGACAUGAUAUGUUGAAAGGACGCUUGAAGUUUUUAAGAUAAUAUGGUUAUAAGCAAGCUAGGGAAAUGUGGUUACUAGGAAACUUAUCAGGGCCAGAAGUCUUUGAUACCAGUACUAUGGAAGCCUCAGUAAUAUUUGGUGAGAUGGUUCAGAUGGGAGUUCAGUUUCUCUGUUCUAGGCUUGGCUGCAUUCAAUGUGUCCUUUAAUGUGCUGCGGGAUAAAAUGAGAAGUGUAUUAAAACUGCAGCUGCAGAAAGUGGGAAAGCAUGGCAGAUGGUAAAAGGCAUUAUUAGAGUUCUUAAUACUCUUGACAAAUAGGAAGAAUGAUUGGAAAGCUGUAGGAUGUAGUACAGAGAUGACAACAAGUGAACAACAGAGAAUGGGAAACGAAAUGAAGUGCUGAGAUCCCAGAUGGGGAAUGAAUGGUUGGCCAGAGACAGAUGGAGAGUUAUAGUGGAGCGCAAGCCCAGUACAAAAUAGAGACCUACUGUUUGCAAAGAUACUGCUAAUACAAUGUUUAAUGAGGAAUACUGCCACCAGAAUAGGUGAAGAAAUGUUGUGGCUCAGUUAAGUUUGGUAAAUCCUCAGAUAAAACAUCUGGUUGGGACUAUUCUGCAAAGAAGUUGCAAACUGGCUGGAGAGGCUGCAGAAAGUAUGGCAUCAAGUCCAGCAGUGUGUCAUAGGCAUCUGACACAUGGUCAGAGAUCCUGGAACCUGUCUUCAUAACCUAUAAAGACAAAUAACUCCUCACAAAUACUUAAAAUGCUCUUGUACGGAAGGGAAUAUUUUGUUCUUUGUGUUCAUGCUGGAUAGGGCAAGAAAUGAUGUGUUUAAACUGCAUUAAGAUUGAUUAAAAGUGCAACAGUAAGUAAAAUACUGGCAAAGGACAGUGAAAUCAUUAGAAUGGAUUGUCUGGGAAGGUGGUGGAGUAUUGAUUACUGCCUGCAUUUAAGGAAAGGUUGGAUGUGUGUCUGUCAGGAGUGGUUAGCUGUGAUUAACUGCUGUAAGCAGACAGGUUAUCUGGUCACUAAGGCCCUUCCUAGCCUUGUUUUCUGCAAUGCUGUUCUUUAGCUAUCGUUGGGGCACUCUUCCUUGGGGGCUUGAUGUGCUGUAGGACACUUGGUAUGGAGUGUGAACUCAUUCCUGUAAACCUUGUGGUGCACUGGGUGCUGCCAAGUGUAAGUCAUUAUUUACAAACUCAAUGAAUGACGAUGAAGGCUGAGUUUCCAACUAAGCUGUCAAGCAUCUCUUGGGCUCAUGAAUAAGAUGUUCAGGCACAGCAGAAAUAGAACAGCUGAGGUAUUUUUAUGAAACCUUAGUCAAAACCAUGUGUGCUUUUUGCCUUGCUCUUCAGUCACCACCUAGUGUUUGCACCCUCACCAAUACAGCCUGUGCUGCUUUUCUCUAUUAGUCCACACACGGAUUUAUUAGCAAAGAUGUCAACUGUGCUGAUGAAGGGAUAAUUGAAGCAGUACCAAAUAGCAACAGCAUGAUUUUUUCUGUAAUGUCUGUUCAAAAAAAAAAAAAAACACAUCCAAAGGAACCAGAAGUAAUAAUUAUGAAAUGAAAUUAAAUGCAAGGCAAUGCAGGACUUGCCAGAGCCAAAUGGAAUUAAAAUGCCAACGAUUCUGAGUUUAGCUCUGAAUUCAAACAUUAACUCCCAUUAUAGUCCUAGCGUGGCAAUUAGGCUAUUCCACUCUUUGGUGGUGGAUAGUAUGAAAUAGGUAAGUCUUCUUUCGGAAGAGAAGUCAGUAAUCAGUGAAUACCGCCACAAAAUUCAUUCCUUCAGCUUCAUUCUGACUUGCUUGGAUGUGGUUACUUCUUGUGCACAAAUCUGUUUUUGAUAAGGGCUGAGUUGUUGUGUGUUGGUUAAGCAGUAGGUAAUAGGCUAUGUACAUUUCUGUUGUAGACUUAGUGGCUUUAAAGUGGGACUGGGAAAAAGGAAAAGAAGAAAAGAAACUUACUCUGUUCUUACAUCAUGCCACAGAAGUAGUUAGUCCUAUGGUCCUAUUGCAUGACUGUUUAAAUACCUGAAGUGGACCUGUCUCCAGACAUAGCUGCACUACUCAUUCAGGCAGUCUGUCAUUGCCUGCUGGUUUUCUAAUAGAUCUGAGGUUAAAUAAUUUGUUGUUGCUUUUAUUAACAGCUAAAAGCAACACAGAAUGGACAGUGAUCUUUGUCAGUGAAACAAGCACAGUGUCAAUCAGCAUGAAAUAGGCAUCUGCCAAACUUUGUAGGUGGAGAUCUACUCCGCUGCAUUCAAAAGGCUGAUGUAAAAAUUAACAUAGCCAAAAGUCUGAGUGAUAGUCAUGAUGAUAAAAAAUUUGUUAGGGCAAGGCAGAAACUUUUAGCAUCAAUACAGCUGAACUGUGGUCUACACUGCUGCACUGGGCACUGGCCAAAUUGUUUUAGUUGGGUGACCUUUGGUUACAGAACUAUGUCUAGUAUGAGGGAAGCAAAUUAAUGAAUGAAUGGAGUCUGCAGUGGUUAGCUGAUCAAAGUUAUCACCUGACACUGUGUCCUCAGCAGAAGGCAGUGUUACAGCCUACAGACCAGACAGGUUUGUUUGUGUGAGGUCUGAUGGAUACUGAUAAUUCUGGCACAAGAAGCUGGGGAGGAGGAAAUAGAUGGAUAUUGUUAUUUUGGUAUUUCUGUUGUCUUUGUUUCUUCUCUGGGGGAUUAUUUCCCCAAGUACUGCUUCACUGUAUUUCUGACGCAUGUCUUUCUGAUGUUGUAUGGGAGAAUUUCUGUCAGAGGUAGUUGAGAAAUAAUGACCUGCAUGGGAAGCCAGAUUAUAAAUGCAAUUAAAUGGUAUCCCGACACUGUCCUGUGCCAUUGUUUCAAUGUGUUUACCAUAGCAUUAGAUUUACUAAUUUAAAAUCAAACUGGAGCAGGUGCAAAGAAAGAAAAUUAGGAUGGCAGGAAAAUGAAGAGCCUAAUGGGGACCAGAGUUCCAUUCAAAAUGCAAACAGCCACAUGAGUAAGAGGUGUUUGAUUUUUUUACCUUUAAACUUGAUAGUUUGAGGAAUAAAAGAAAGAAAACUACUUGUGCAUAAAUGUGCCUUGUUCCUCUUCCAGAAGGAGUAGAAAAGAAGAGGGGAAAAAAAUAACCCCAUUAGUUUAUACAGCAUGUUUGAAUUUCUGAAUGGGAUCUUAUGAUAUAAUGACAAAAAAAAAACCCUAUAUAUAAUGACUUGAGAUAUCUCUGCUAUCUUUCGUUCCUGUGAAUUUGUUCCACAGGUCUGUGCUUCUGUUCUACACUGGAAAGUCCUGAAGUAAGGACUAUCCCCUUUUGAAAGGCCCAAAAUAGUUGAGUCUCAUCCAUUUCACAAGCCAACCCAGAGCUUCUCUUCUAUUAAGUACACUGGUGGGCUAUCUGUAGAAACACAAAUAUUUGUCCCUGAUGCUGCUGUCUGAAGGGCUUUCAUCCAUAUCCUUGUUUGUUUUUUUUUCCCCAAGAAGAACAUGCAGUUGUGAUGCUCAUGUUAUAUCAACAUGGCAAGAACCACAAAAAACAAACAAAAGAACAAUGGUGUCUCAUCACCAUCAUUAUCUACUUUUCUGUCACCAGCAAAUACUACAAGAACUACCCAUCCAACAGCAAUGGAGAGAGGAACGUGGAGGAGAAAACAGUAGUUCUUCCUUCUGGAUGGCCGUGUGGCCUUCUGGAUGUGUUGGAAAGCUGAGUGCUCUGACAUGCUGGCUUUUUACUUUGACCAUAUUCACAUCCAGGUGUGUGAUGAUUUUCAUGCUUAUGUAUGGGAAGCAGAGACAGAGUUGGUCCUGAUGGAAGAAGAGACUCUUGUAGCUGACAGCUGGCAGUGCUGUCCCCAGUACAGCAAUUUAGGGAUCAGCAGCUGGCUGAUGAGAUUGAAGGUCAAAGCCCGAACAGUCUGGUCUGAAAGAAGAAAACAACAGAGCUGCAAAGUUAGUGAUACAGUGCCUGUCCCAUGUGCACACAUUCAAUGUUAUGGAUUUUGUUACAAAAAUUAGAAUGCAGAAACAUGAAAAUGCAAUGUGAGACAUUUAAGAGGUGAAUGAGGAGAUGCUUAUUCCUUCUUUCCUCCCACAUCGUCUCAGCCCAAAUACGCAGGUUUUUGUCAAGUUGUCUGAUAACUUUUCAGGCACAGCCUUACUACUUUCCACAAAAUGUGAAUGGAAGUUGGUGGAUAUAUUGCAUGGGGAGACAAGUUGGAAGUGGAACUGGCUGGAUUAGCCUUGGACAAAAGCAUGUCUGUUAAAGGAUAACUUUCUGAAUGCAACAAUGCCAGCAGAGUGGCACUUGUGUUCACCAGCACUGGACAUGUGGAAAUCAGAGUGUCUGUGUGUAACAGACAGGUGUUAAAGCACAGUUGAUGCUAAACUUGGGCUCACAGUUUUGUAUGUACUGAGUGCAGUGUGGGGCACUGAUUAUUGCACAGUGAGAAUUGGAUCUGAAGAAGUAAUAAUUUUCUCCAUGGUUUUUGUCUGAAACAAAUGAAAGUUAUCAUAGAAAUAUAUCACUGGAGACAUUCCUGGAAAGAACAUUCUGUGCAAUUAUUUGUGCCUGCUAGAGGCAUAACAAAAUGUAAAGGCUGAAAACUCAAGCUGGGAAAAUGCACUUCAGGAUCAUGACGUGGGUUUUCAGUAGUGCAAUGCUCUCCGUGGGCAUGGGCUAUUGAGAGAAGCAGUCAACUUCAGCACUGCAGAUGAAAGGAUUCAGGACUGGAAGCUUCUAUAAAAAAAAAAAAAAUUGUCUGAGUCCAUGAGCAGUUACUGAACUUGCUGACAAGUAUAUAUGCACAGCAAGGCAUACUAAGUAAUGGCCCCUAUUUGUUCCCAUGGAAACUGGAACAGAUUAAAAGAGCACAAUAACACAAUCUGAAAGAGCAAGUUCUCAGCUCUAAAUCACUGUUUUUCAACAUAGUUAUCACUGUUAACUCUGCAUUUUCACCAGUAAUGAACAAGGUUCUGCAUGCUGUGCUCAUAAAUAUCUGCAUGGCCAUCCACAGCAUCUUAUUUUUCACAUUGCUGUCACCACCCAUGAAAUACAGCACCCGCUGUCUCCUUGUGCCAACAGCCACACUUAGGGCUCCAUAAACACUCAGUGAAUGUCAAUAAAUGUCAAUGGGUGCAUAUUUUUCCUCACAGGGGAAUUUGGUUCCACCCUUUGCUCCAUCCCCACUUCCACGAGGCACUGUUCUGUCAGACCGCCCCUCUGCUGCCCUCUGUUACACAGCACCAAAUGAAUACUGGCAGGAACAUCCAACCCCUGCUGCCAUACCACCUCCAUCCACCUCUGAUGGCAAUGGCCAACAUUGUAAAAUAGGAGGCACUAUUUUUGAAGCAGCCCUCGUAAUGUUCUUCAUUGCAGGUAUUACUGAGCAAAAUUGUGUCUGCUUGUGUUUCAGGUCAGGUUAGAUGACAGUGGCCUUCUCUAGCCUUGGUUGUGACAGAGACAGUGAGGGUUUGCAAGAGACAAAACCACAAAAAUCAGCUGUUUGAGCAGUGACCAUUCCCUUGUUAGGGGCAGGAUUGCACCACAGUGGUUGGACAUGCGUAGAGCUUACGGUAGGUUGUGCAGCACUGUGAGCUGAAAGGCCAGUUAGCACACUCAAUAUUGGUUGCUGUAAAAGAGCACUAAUGAGUGUGCUAAUUAUGUAGCAGCUUGCAGUGACACACACAUAGAAAAUUGUGAUGAUUGGAUGUUGAAAUAUUCCUUCACAUGUUUUUAUUUUGGUAAAAGUUCAAUUAGUUUGAUGCAAUUUACCUUGUGCUGUCCUGUUCACUGAAGAUUGACUAUAGCGACUACCCAUGGAGACUCAGAGGGCCGUGAUGACCCAGGUGACUCAGACUUCUUGCUGUGUUAGAAGCAAAUUCUGCACAACCGAACUCUCCUUUCUGAGGCCAGCAUGGUUGGGUAGCCAACCACAGACAAAGGCCAUUAAUGCACAGAGAGACAUACAAGAUUAUAAAACUCACAGUCUUCAGCUAGGAGCCUUAGGAAGAACAGAAGUUUCCCUUAUCUUAUGUGUUAAUUUGUAUCUGCAUGUAUUGGAGCCAAUAGAAACGAUGUAUUAGUCAUUCUCAAAACAAAAUUGUAUAAGUAAGCCAUUUCCCCCCCCCCAAGUAUUUCAUUAUCUGGAACACUGCAGUCAUUUUUAUCUGUUUUUAGAAUUCAUUUGUCAGUGUCUUUCAAGAACUCUUGCCUUGAUGCACUUUGUCCAGAGUGGGCUACCCAGUACUGCACUUAGAUAGGAAAGGAGAAGUGAGAAGAAGAAAGGGAGUUUGGAAAUGCAAAGAGCUCACAAAGUCACCCAUUAAUCCGUUUACACGUAGAAGUGAACUUCACAAUGUGAUCUAAAUGGCUGCUGGGGAUUUCAGGCACUCCCAUUAAGAGAAGAUUAUGAUUCCACUGUCUUACUGUGUAAGAGGUAAUGUAGGAAAGGCUGAGCAGCAGCUGGAUGUUCAAACUGAGGGUUUUCUUUAACCAUUUCAGCACGUUUCCUUGAAGCCUUUAGUCUCAUCCAUUUGGAUGGGCAGCAGAGGAAAUUUUGUUUAUGGUUAGGCUCGUUCCAGCCAUGAAAUUAACAGAAUAAGUACAGAUAAAAGUAGAAAGAUUAGGGAGAUUUUAAUUUGGUACAGGCAUUCUUAAAUGUUUAUUUGCUUUUUGGUCUUGGAACUUGCCCCAUCACUUAAUGAAUAAGAAUGCUCCAUAGCAGCUGCAAAGAACAGCGGUGAGAUGAAGGCAGUAUGAAUUGAGUGGCCUGGGACAAAUAGUAAAGUUAGGAGCAUUAACAAAAUCAUUUUUGACAACUGAUGUAAACUGAAAGCUGCAGAUCAUACAAGAAGGAAGGGUGAGAGGUACCAGGAGGCAGUCACUGCUUUGUGUUUUAUUUCCAUAACAAAACUGACUUAAAUGAUGCCAUGCAGUUGGUGACAACAUAGCCUUCCUAAAGAUCUGUAAAGCAGAGCUCCCUCAUCCUUGGCAUCUCAUCAUCUUGGUGAAGAUGAGUGAGUAAAACAUAUUCUCCACACCUGUGAAUGAUUUCCACAGCUGACUCUGAAGCAGUGGUAUGCUCUAAUUUCCAGAAGUUGGGAGAGCUGCAGCCUAAGGCCACUUCUCCGCAUCCCUGCAUGACCUCGUGCUGCAGCACUGCCAUCCUCAGGGGGCACCCGGGGUCCCUCACACUGAGCUGUUGUGCUGCACCUCCUUAUGUCACCCUGUGACCAUUUCAGCAGAUGUGAAGUUAGGAGAGCACCUGAGGGUUUUAUUUAUCCUGGACAAUGGCUGAGUUAAGCAGACGUUGGUAUCUGUGCCUUGAAAUGAGUGGGAUUAAUGAAUGUCUACAGUUUCCACUGUUAAGAUUGAAGAAGAAAUUCUUAAGGCCUUCGCUGCCCACAGAAUGUACAGACAUUCCUUUUUUUGGCUCUUUUUCUCCCGUGUUUCCCAAAAUUCCCAUAGAACCCAAGGAGAGCAUUGGUACAGCAUUGUUUUUAUAGCACUCUGGGUUCGCAGCAUUCUAAAACACAUCAGUGACUCAUCUGAAGUUUUUGAUUACAACUUCUUGCCUCAGUGCUUACAUUCACUUCUUAAAUAUUGACGGUGUCCUGAAAAAGUCGUGUUACCAAGGAGAAAGUAGCAAUGGUUUAUCAGAACACACAGUGCUUGAUAACCCCUGCAGAAGGGUAGAACUUUGAUUCACAGCUACUUUAUUUCUGCUUUAUGCCAACUUAAUUAUAUCCUAAACGGGGGACAAAAGGACCUUUUCCCACCUUUGCUAUUGUGUCACUCUUUCACUCUGCUGACACACCAAGGCUUCCCAGAUCUCCAUUCUGCUCCGUUCCAGGGGAUGUGUUACCUCAAAUCACUUACAGCAUGUUUAGCCAGUAGGAGUUUGUGAAUUGUUUUAUCAUUCUUGCUGGAAAAUUUGUUGAAUUGUUGAUAUCACUCCUAAUAGUUUCCAGCUUUGUGUCAUUUAUGUUCAUGUGAGUUGCUUUUUUUUUUCUUUUUUUUUUUUUUUUUUAAUUUAUUGAACACAUUCAUCAGGCAUUAUUUAUGGAGUUUGAUGUUAUUACAGCCAUGAUUGUGAGAUGUGAUAUUUUCCUGGUGUUUCAUUUUAUUAUCCUUUGCAUACACUGUAAAGACUCAGCUCUGCCCAUCAAACAACUUUUGCUUUGGUUUUCAGUCAGGUUAACAGUCUCUUGUUUUUAACACCAUCUUUUCCAAGAAACCAGCAAAGGUUACCUGACUGUUUUUCACAUCCUCUCAGGUAUUUCAGUGAGCUCUCCUUGUGCUGCUGAUUGCUUUCCUUUGCAAAUCAGAGCCUUUUUCAGCUUGACUGUAUAAAGGACUCUCCAAGUGCACCUUUGGGUGCUUAUGGAAACAUUGUCAGCUAGGAGCAGAUGACUGGAAAUUAGCUCAAGGCUCCAUAUUUUGAGAUCAGCAGUCACAGAAUAAUGACGGUAUUUUCCUUCAUGUGUUUAAGAGUCAUGGAUUACUCCCCCUGCUUUACAGCUGGACCGAGCAGCGUGGCUCCAGUAGACUGUGGAGGAGCUGCAUUACAAGUCUUAACUCUGUUGAGUGCUUGGAAACUAAUCAGGGAGUAUGCUGUUACCUCGCAGGUCCUCAGAAUUUUGACUGUGAUUUGCAAUUCCUGUGACGAUUUGCAGACUUGCCCAGCACCAUCUGAGCAUUAUCUAAAGCAGUCACACCCUGAGACUCUUUGAGAUCUUCCUUGGGAAAACCAGAGCCCAGUUCUGUGCCUGACCACUCUUUCAGAGAAGAAAAUUUUCCCAAUAUCUAACCUGAACCUCUCCUGGUGCAUCUAGAUGCCUUUCCCUCUCAUCCCAUCACCACAUACACAGGAGAAGAGAAUGACCCCCACCUCACCACAGUAAGGUCUCCCCUGAGCCUUCUCUUCUCCAGACUGAACAAUCCCAGUUCCCUCAGCUGCUCCAGACACCUCCCCAUGUUGGCCAAAGCCCCACCCAGUUCACUGAUAGGGUACCCACACUGCUCUGGCCAUCCUAUGCCAGUGUCUCAUUGUUCUCAAGGUGAAGAAUUUCUUCCAAAGUCUUGAAUUUCUUUUACAUCUGCCUGUGUACAAGCAGGUGACAUCAUCUGGUGGAUGGAUCCAUUAGUGAUUCAGGCAGCUGGAAGCCAAAUUUGAACUUUUCUGCUGUUUUCCAUCCAAAAACCACAGUAUGCUUGAAAAAAGAAAAAAAAAUGUUGUAAAUAAAGACUCUUAAUUGCUACUAGAGCAAAAGGAGUAAUGGAUAUUUUCUACAGAUGGAAAUAAUACAUAAAGCAACACAUGCAGCAUUUGUUAGUAUUACAAAAGUGAGGACAUACAAAAGAAGCACAGAAUGGUUGACAUUGGAUGGAGCCCAUGGAGAUUGCUUAGUCCAGACCCCCUGCAUGAAGGCAGGAGCAGCUACAGCAGGCUGUCCAGCUGUGCCUGGGUGACUGCUGGCUGUGUCCAAGGAUGAAGACUCCACAGCCUCUAAGGAAUCUGUCACAGCACUUGACUGUACCUAUGAGGAAAAAAAAAUAACUUAGGCCUAAAUGGUAUAUCCUGUAUUUUGGUUUGUGACCCAAAACUACAUUAGAUUUAAGCACGUGUCUUCUAUUCAUGUUCAGUUAUUGAAGACAAGAUGACAACAAAUAGCAGCACAUUGCCCUGACUCCUCGCCCUAUGGCACAAGCACCACUGUCACCGCUACUAACAUCAGAGAUGAGUUCAUAGCAGACAUUUCAUAAGACAUCUGAUGCAGAAUGCAAGCUGCUAAACACUGAUGUUCUCAGGUCUCUGAAACUGAGGUACAAAGGCUGUAUGUGUGUUUGAAAAGCAAACAAACAACAGAGACAGAAAGAUGUAUAGGCUAACAAACUCAACACAUUGCUGCAACUGUUUCAAGAGCUUUAUUUAUUACAAGCACUUUGGAAGGAAGGACAAAAGCAUAUGCCAGAAAAUGAUUAAAGAGUGAACUGGGGAAGUUUAGACUCCUUCGGAAUAAAUCUAAGUAAUGGACAGCAUUUAUUAUGUCUGUUUAAAAGCAAAGUAAUAAGGACAAAGGGUAAAUCUACACUAGCAAUUAGCUAUGAAUUCUUUUUUUGUGUCUAUGCCACCCAGCUACAGUCAUGUCAGCUUUCUAUAUUCACUUGCCAGAAAAAGAGCUGUGCAAAACCAUGACUUUUGUUCAGGCAGGAGGUAGAUAUAUGCUUCAGCUGCUGUCCACAGCUGCACACAAUCAAUAUGCACCAGGCCUGCAAAUACAGAGAGAUCUUCCCCCAAAAAAUCUUACUCCAGGCUGAAUUCCAAUUCCUUACUAAGAUAUCUUUUUUUUUUUUUUUUUUUUUCCCCCCACUGGCAUCAGUUUUCCCAAAUGCUGACCCCAAAUUCCCCUUCUGUCUACCUGGAAACCUGGCUGGUAGACCCACACUGGGCAUUUAACCCCAUAUUUCCUUGCAGUCUGCGAGUCUGUACUUGGCUCAACUGUUCCAGCUGAGCUCCUUCUAUUGCAGUGUACCUGGGUACUUACUUCCAUUGUGCUGCCUGGAGAACAUGGGGCUCCCUGAUCAGUGCUUGAAGGAACGCCACACAGCCCCUGAGCCUGGCCAUAGAAUCAUAGAAUCACAGAAUCACCAAGGUUGGAAAAGACAAGAUCAUCCAGUCCAACCAUCCACCCACCACCAGCAGCUCUCACUAAACCACGUCCCUCAACACAGCGUGUACAGCAGCUCCAGUAGCUGCCACAGCACACCAUCCAAAUGACCUCUUAGAUAUGGGUGUGUUCUGCUGGAGUGCAGAGUGGAGACACAUCACUGUCCUGAAGGGAAGGGCACAAACUGGAGGUGCAGUGGUGCUCAGGAUGUGUCCUUGCUGUGCAGAGUCUGACAAGUAUUUAUCAGUGCUCCACCACCUCAGUCCAUUUUGAUUUCCUUCCUUACAUCAAUUCUUUGCAUCAAAAGGAGGAACUAUACAUUCACACACCAUUUUACACUGCAAAAAACAUAACUUGUCUUGUGUUGUUGUAGUUCAUGGCAAUAUUCCAGGCUUCCAGGUAAAUGUUUCAUCAUUGGAUCUCAAAGAUAGUUAAUAGUCAACAGUGAAUAAGUUCUGCCAUUGCAAUAUUCUGCUCAGAUGUUGGCAAAGCUACGCACAUCUGAUUGUUUUCAUGCAAAUGCUCUCCUUUACCACAGAAGUUUGUUGCUGUAAAGAGAAGAAAUAAUUGAUGCUGGGAUGCAAAAUCCCCUCAAGUGAAGGCAUUGCACACUGGGAAAAUUACAUGUCCUGCCCUGCGGCCUUGCUGUGACCGCACGCUGCCUUGACAGUGAUCACUGGCUGGAACGAUGUGCUUCGCCAAGGUUGUCUUUAUUUAGACAAGGCUGCUGCUUUCUGAACUGCUUGCGGGAACAGAGGGGUCAUGCAGUAACCACUCUGCACCUCCUGUGUCAGAGGACUGUGGCGCACUCAGGGGAACACGCCUUUGGUAUUUUUCUAUGUUCUAACAGGGAAAACGGGGUAUUUGGAAUAAAGCAGCAAUGAAACAGACAGUAAGGUGGGCUUUUCUUUGAGUAUAACCCCAGAUUCUGGUCAGUCCAGCCUGAUCCCAGACAGAUAGCCAUGGCAGCAGCCUGAGCUCAGGCAUGGCUUCAUCUUCCUGCCUUUCCUGUAUUAAAGAACAUGGCAGCUUGCACUACAAAUAAUGUAUCUGUGCUGUUUACUACCACUGCCAGCAUUCCAGGAGAGCCAGAAGGGUCUGACACAGAUCGGCCUCUGGUUGUUGCCACAGCACCUGCGGAUGGUGUUUGUACUGAGGUCACAUUCAGAUGCAAGAAAGGUUACAAGCUGCCAAUAAUAAGAGUAACAAAAUACAGAUUUCCUCAGACCAGUGGCAAAGCCAGGAAUGGAGCUCAGGUUACUGCCUGCUAAACUUACAGCCUGUCCCAAAUUUAUACCAGAUGAGUGUAACAGGUUGGCAUGGAGUUAGUGCAAUUAAAUUCCAUACAUGUGGGUAACCCUUUGUUUAGUUACCAAGCCUAAACUCAAGAGCUGGGGUAGGAAACAAAGUGCAUAUGAUGCAAUGUGUAUUUUUUUAAAACUGGAAAACCAAAUUCAGGGUUGUGAGCCUGAAUCUCAGUUAGUAUAGGCUGUGAAUUCUGAUGAGUCUGUGCAGAACAACAGGAUCUGAGCGUGGGUGUUGGUUUCAUAUCCCAACACAGAAGAUUUGGGAUGAAUAUUUCAUAAGUUCACAAAGGUCCUGAGGAAUAUGCAUGAUAAAAAAAGUACUGGUUAGUUUGAAAGAGGUUAACAGCUUUCUAAAUAGAAUAAAGUAGAUAUCAUGGGGCUCUCAGCUAGAUAAAUGCAGGCAUAUUUCCUAAUUUCUCUGCUGCAAAACAGUCCUCUACUUCUCGCUGAGUCUUUUCCUUUUAUAAGGUGAGGACUGGAGGACUCAGACAAAACAGAUGAUGUUUGGUCAGAUGAGGGUUUAAAUCUGGCAGCUAAUGUUGCCCAUAGCACUGCCUGCGCUGAAGAGAGAGAAAUUGUGCAGUAGGCAGGUAAUUCAUAACCCUGGAGAGGUAUCUGAAUAACAGGACAGAAUUGCUCUGUUACAGCUCCAGCCCCUGCAGUGAAAUCCAUCUGCAUGCAUUGCACCCAACCUGUUGGUCACAUCCAUGAGUGCCCCUGGCACAUACAGCCUUCCUACCACAUUGGUGUAGUUCAUGUGAUACACACUCAUACUGAGCAAUCCAUGAAUGGGUCUGUACAGCCGUCUAAGAGGGACAGUGUUACAGUCAUGUGGUCAUAAUAAAUCAUAAAUCUGUGCCACCCCUUUAACAAAUGAUUUCCCCAUCUACAUGCUAAAGUUGAGGUACAAAUUUUUUUUUAUUUUUUUUUUUGCCAAUAUCUUUGCUGAAAUCGAGUGUUUGGAUGGAUUAUGUGCAUGACUUUCCUUUUAAAUACCACUAAACUGAUGUUUGUGAUGUGCUUGAUUGACUGUUAAUGAAGGAUAAACUGGGGUUACAAACACAACUCUGUGUUGCCUCAACUCUUACUCUGCCCUGGAGUCAAUUCUUAUCUGUGUGGCUGCAUUUGGGUAUGGGAGAAAACUUCAAAUACUCAUAAUCAGAAAAAAAAAAAAAAAAAGUUCUCUAAUAUUCAAAGUCUUUAAUAUAGGCUUUGCUGGAACAUCAUUUGAAAAGUGUAAUUCCACAUUUCACAUAAACCAUCACAGUAACUCUUGGAAUCAGAAGCAGAGAGGCUGAUCCUCCCUUCAUCUGCACAGCCCUCACCUCUGCUGUCAUUAGCAGGUUCUCCAACCACUACCAAUGCAGGUGGUUUUUUGUUCACUAAACUUCCAGAAUGUAACUUCAUGGCCCACACAGGAGCAAUCCUUCUCUACCUGAACACUUAGACAGUGAAAAGAUAUCCACGUCUGCCUGUGCAUGGACACAGAUGUGCAAACAAAAUAACCAUCUUGAGUUUUAUUUCCUUACAAAAAUUUAAGAAGUCAGGCUCAAAGAAGAGGAGGAAGAGGAAAUACUGCUUGGGCUUCCCAGUCAGUCAUUUGUGAAAUAAACAAACACGGAAUCGAUUUGUUUUGUAUUUCAGCAUGAAAACAGACUGAAAUCUGCGUGGGAGUUGAAAUCAAAGCAUAAAUAGAUGUAAAAAAAAAAAAAAAAAUCCAGUGGAGGAUCUAAGGGCAAAAAGCCACCUGGGAAGGGCCAGGAUGACCCCACCAGGCUGUCCCGUGCGGUGGGUACCCUCUGGCUGCUAUGCAUGGAGGUCCCCAAAGAUCUGAACCAAAGGCUCCGAGGGCAGCCCUUCCUCCAGCAGCACCGGGAGGAGCAGGCAGAGCUCCCAGAGCUGGCAGAACAGCACCUGGAGCAGAAGCUGAGCAUGAAGCUGGCCAGCUGGGAAAUGAGCUAAUGAGGUGCAGAUGGUAUGAUUCUUAGAGCACAAAGUGCAGGUCAUGGCUGCUGUUGCUCUCCUGGGAAGCUGGAAAGAAGGUGGUUCUGCUGCUCUGUUUCUCCUGCUGGUAUUUUGCCCAGCUAGCUGUGUGCUACAAAUGAGCUGGUGCUCUCUAACAGCACUAGGAAUGGCCUUUGUUUGCCAUUAAUGUUAAAAAGAGAUCAGCUAUUUACAGACGGCUUGGUAGUUUUUCUUUCCUGAAUGCUUCCUUGUGUCUUGAGUUCAUAGUGCUGCUGGAGCACACUAGGAAGGGUGCCUUUCUGCAACAUCCAUGUGCUGCAAGUGAGGUUCAGGCAGCUCAGCCCAAACCUGGCUCACACCAUCCAGCUGCCAGCCUUGGCAUUCAGCUUGUAGAAGGCUUUGACAAGGUAUUUAUUUUAUUUUUCCUCUCUUAGUUCUUAUUUAAAUCUUUUUGCUUUUCAAUGUAUUUGCACAGAAAAAAUGCAUAUUGUAUCUAAGGUCACUAAGUUUUAUGUCAGUUUGAAACAGAACUUAAGCUUGUGAGGUGCAAGAAAUGACUCAUCUUGUUAGAAAGUCCUGAAAAGUUUCCUGGAUGACUUAAUAAAUGGUAAAGAUAAACAUGCAUUCAGAAAACAGACACUGCUUUAACUGACUAGGCUGUGUGCAGUGGGAGGCAUGGUGCAAAAGGCAGCUGCAGGUCCUGUCUCCUGCAGAGGUUCUCUGCCUACACUGUGUUCUCAACUCUGUUCUAGGACCUCAGCGAAUCCUGUUUGCAAAUUGCUGACCCUCUAAAUUGCCCAUACAUUGAUGAGAUAAAGAGAAGAUCCCAGUCUGGGUGGGGUGAAGGCCAAGGACAGCAUGCAGCACUAGCAGUGCUGAUUUGCUGGCACAGAAAAGUGUCUUCAGAAAGUCCAGAUCUCACAGAAAAACUUCCAGAGUGAAUUAAGCCUCAGAAUACCAAAAAGUCGCCUCAGUAAUUGCUAAGCACGCCCAGUUAUUCACACAAUGUUCGCUAGUUCCUCUAUUUAAUUGGAUUCUUGAGCAGAAUUUCAAUUGCAUCUCUUCAUUUUUCAAGCACAAAGAAAUAGUUUUAAACUCUGUAAAUAUCAGAAAGGAUUGUUAUCUUUUACACACAUCCAAGCAGACCGGUUCCUGUAUUAACACUAAAAAGAAACCAAAACCCAGACAGAGAAACGUGCUGGAAUAAUAAGAGGUAAUCUUCAGACUGUCUACUGGAUGACAAUUGAAGAGCCCAAAGCCACUUGUCACAUACAGCCAGCAUGAAGCAUACCUCAUGGAGCAGCAUUUGGAGCGUGGGCAUUGCUGAGCUCUCACCUGGGUCACUCAUUUUAAUCUUAAUGGGAAAAAAAAAACAACACUUGAUGUGCUAGAAAUCUAAUGGAGAUACUGCAGCCCAAUAGGAAGAGAACCUCCAUCUCUCAGCACCCCUCAGACUAUGAGGCACCUUGUCUGACCUGCACAUCCCUUUGGACAUGUCUGAGUCUGGUCCUGGGCAAGUCAGGCUGACCCAGCCCAAGGAACAAGGCACUGAAAUCCACAAAUCAAGCAGCAUCUAUAUAGGCUUGUGCUGAUGGUGGUGUUGGUUCUGCUGAUGCACACAACUCUGCUAUCGGGUUACCUGGGAACGGCGCCUACCGCAGAAAGUGGCCUUAGGACUGUUUUGACGGGGCCAGUAAGGGGAGCUCAAGUCUUGUUUACAGUAGGUCCUACACCUAUGGGCUCUGCUGGCUGCUUGGCCAGAAGGACUCCGCGUGGGCACAGCGCUGCUCAGCCUGCGGGACAGGGGCACCCACUGCUGCUCCCAUGGCUGAUGUGGAGCAGGGAACGGAGGGCGCACUGCUCACCAACAAAGGGCGCUGGGCUUCAUUAGGUGCAAAGAGAAAAGUGUGCAGAUACUGAAGUGCAAAGGGGCAGCGCGGCUGAGCUGAAGUCCCGAGGGAAAUGCCAGCGCCCGGUGAGGGGAACGCUUUUCCCCGAAUUCCGCCUGCCGCACAGAUUGGAGCAGGCGAAGGGCAGAGCAGAGCAGUGCAGGUCGGGGACAUCUCAGAGAUGAUCGGGUCCGCCAUUCGCGGCCAAAGCGGGGCCGAGGGAGGCGCGGCACCCGCCGUGUGCCGGAGAUGAGCGGGAGCGGGGAUGGGGGAAACCGAGCUCAGCGGCCCCCGGGCAUAGGAGGGCGAGAG
ensembl:lncRNA